rnacentral:rRNA from 1 species
UACGGGAGGCAGCAGUGGGGAAUAUUGCACAAUGGGCGCAAGCCUGAUGCAGCCAUGCCGCGUGUAUGAAGAAGGCCUUCGGGUUGUAAAGUACUUUCAGUCGUGAGGAAGGUGUUAAGGUUAAUAACCUUAGCAAUUGACGUUAGCGACAGAAGAAGCACCGGCUAACUCCGUGCCAGCAGCCGCGGUAAUACGGAGGGUGCGAGCGUUAAUCGGAAUUACUGGGCGUAAAGGGCACGCAGGCGGUUAAUUAAGUUGGAUGUGAAAUCCCCGGGCUUAACCUGGGAAUGGCAUUCAAGCUGGUUAGCUAGAGUCUUGUAGAGGGGGUAGAAUUCCAUGUGUAGCGGUGAAAUGCGUAGAGAUGUGGAGGAAUACCGGUGGCGAAGGCGGCCCCUGGACAAAGGACUGACGCUCAUGUGCGAAAGCGUGGGGAGCGAAACAGGGAUUUAGAUA